CAGCAACACCAAAAAGUUCCUGGAGGAGAGAAAAAGGCUGGCCAUGAAGCAGGCGAAGGAGCUGGAGCAGCUGCAGAAAUCCCAGCGAGAGCAGCUGGACAAACUGGAGAAGUUCAACGAGCAGCUUUUGAAAUCCCAUCAUGCAAACAGUCAGACUCAAGGCCAAAGACAUGCAGAAGAUGGUGAAGCUGGAGGAGGACAUGGACCGCAGACCAGCCACGGUGGUGUAAGCUCUCCGUCCUCCACAGGAGCGAGCUGAAGAGUCCGUCUUCAUCCGUGCUUCAUCCCAGUCUGUAGUCUAUAAGCCCCGCCCAUUCUCCCUACCUCAGCUCUAGCCCCGCCCACCACAGUUAACUCCUC